CUCUGCACGAGGUCCUGAGCGGCCCCCAACAGGUACCUGCAGGAUAAAGGCUCCCGCGUGGCCCAGAGAAACCGCCCACCCCGAGCUUCAUGUUUCAUUUGGUCUCCUGCUGCUUGGUAAGAGAAGCUGCUUUAUCAAGAAAGCACGGACGCGUGCACAAUGGGAUGAAGAACAUCUCCGGUCACGAAUUGGAAAGUUUAUUCCAUUUCAAGAACCCGUACACAAGAUUUCACAGCCCCGAGGAGAGACAUCAGCCACAGGCAGAUUGCUUUUAUCUGCCAGGAAGCGGUGCACCUUGAUUGAAAGAUCUCUUGGGUAAGGAACGGAGUGAGAUAGAAGCAAGGCCACAGUGGGGCACGAGGGUGACAGGCGGCAGGAGAAACACGCAGGAUAGAACAACUUCUAUCCACGGACGAAAUAUGGACAGUGAACUCAGAAGUGUUCUGCCACAAUAAACAAGAAGGGGAAGUGCAAGAAGGGGACAUAUAACUUUACGACCUGUGAAAUCGAAUUGCCUCUCACGGAUCUUUACCUUUUGGUGGACAAUGAGCAACUUCGUCAUCUCAGGCAGAGAUGGGUCAUAAAAGCCACUGGAAGGCAAAGAAUCAGGCCUGUCUGAUUAGAAUCCAGGAGGCCUUGCUUCCCAUACCAGGCUUUAUGUAUUGGAAGCAGUGACUGUGAAUUACAGCACCUCACAAC
rnacentral:lncRNA from 1 species